AGAGCCUUGACUUGGCAGGCAGCUCCUGGGGCUGGAUUGAGGUGGUGGUGACACCUUGGUGACAGGAUGAUGUCCCAUGGAACUGGAACACAACAGACACGGGGGCGUUGGUGGCAGGGCUCAGGGUACCCGGGUGCCCAGGGGAGGAAAUUUGGAACAAUUCCAAGAGGGAAGGGAUUGCUGCUUAGCAUGACGAUAAGAGAAAUACAGAGCAGAGCUGCA
rnacentral:lncRNA from 12 species